rnacentral:miRNA from 10 species
GUAUUAGGUUGAUGCAAAAGUAAUUGCAGUUUUUGUCAUUACUUUCAAUGGCAAAAACCGCAAUUAAUUUUGCCCCAACCUAAUAAAA